rnacentral:rRNA from 1 species
AUGAAGGAGGAAAAAGACACAAUAGUAACGUGGUCCCGGGCAUCUAGCAUUCUACCCACAAUGGUUGGCCAUACAAUAGCGAUUCAUAAUGCAAUGGAACAUAUACCUAUUUACAUAACAAAUCCUACUCGGCAUUACACGAGUUAUGAAAUGCAAGAAAGGAUACUAAAUCUCGUCGUUAACUGA